UGAAUUGCUUUAAAUUGUUGUUUGUUCUGUUUGAACUGAGAAGGCUAGGGUUUUGGAAAAAGCCUUUUUUAAAAAAGUACCUUUUGUAUCAUGGUUUUGGGAGUAUGAAGAGUAUCUUUCUUUCCCGAAUUCUUUAGGAUUUUUUUUUCCAGAGGGUUUUUGUUACAUUAAAAUCCAUAACUGGGAGGAGGCAGUGAAACGCUUUCGACUAGGAAUUUAUCUGGUUUUCUCUGAAAAGAAUUGAAUUCUGCCCAAAACAUUGUUUUGGUGAAAGCCUUAAAGGGAUAAGCUUUUAGGGGGAAGAGAAAGAGGUCUGUAAUUGGAUUUGGGUCAAUCUUCUUAUUUUUAGGAGAAAAAGUUUUGGAACAAAAAAAAAGUUAGUAGAAUCCUAAAAUGAGUACAAUUAUAAAUCUUGCGAAAGGAACUCGGCAAAAGCUAGUUGGCCUGUUUAGUAAAAACAUCUCCUCCAGAAUUAAAUUAGAGGUAGGGCCUGCCCAGUGCUCAUUAGUAAACGGCUGCAGUAUUUCUGACUGUACAAAGGUAGCAUAGUAACUUGCUCCUUAAUUGGGAGCUAGAAUGAACGGUCUGACCAAACUUUAUCUGUCUCUCGUGAGAUUGUUGGAACUUGAAAUGUAAGUAAAAAUGCUUACAAAAAAAAGAGGGACGAGAAGACCCUGAAGAACUUUAGUCCUACCUGGACUUUACCUGGGAAGGGGCCUGAUAAAAACUUAGGAGAAAACAAAAACUGAUUAGUUAAAUUAGUUGAAGCCAAUCUCUGGUUUUAAAAAAAAAGUUACCUCAGGGAUAACAGCGUGAUUCAGAUAAAUUAGUUCUUAUCUUUUAUCUGGCUUUCGACCUCGAUGUUGAAUUAGGUCAUCUUCUUAACGAAAAAGGUAAGAGAGUCAGUCUGUUCGACUGUUAAAAACCUACAUGAUUUGAGUUUAAACCGACGUGAGUCAGGUUGGAUUCUAUCUUCUUUAACAAUUCUCCUUAUUAGUACGAAAGGACCAUUUGGGGUAAAAGAAUUUAUAG
rnacentral:rRNA from 1 species